rnacentral:rRNA from 1 species
AAUCAACGCUGGCGGCGUGCCUAACACAUGCAAGUCGCACGAGAAAGCGGACUUCGGUCUGCAAGUACAGUGGCGCACGGGUGAGUAACACGUGAAUUAUCUACCUUCGAGUGGGGAAUAACCUCGGGAAACCGAGGCUAAUACCGCAUAACACUUACGAGUCAAAGCAGCAAUGCGCUGGAAGAGGAGUUCGCGGCAGAUUAGUUAGUUGGCGGGGUAAUGGCCCACCAAGACGAUGAUCUGUAUCCGGCCUGAGAGGGCGCACGGACACACUGGAACUGAAACACGGUCCAGACUCCUACGGGAGGCAGCAGUGGGGAAUUUUGCGCAAUGGGGGAAACCCUGACGCAGCAACGCCGCGUGGAGGAUGAAAUCCCUUGGGAUGUAAACUCCUUUCGAUCGGGACGAUUAUGACGGUACCGGAAGAAGAAGCCCCGGCUAACUUCGUGCCAGCAGCCGCCGUAACAC